GUGACAGAAGAGAGUGAGCACUUAUGGUUUUCGUGCAUGGAUCUUCAUGCUUGAAGCUAUGUGUGCUCACUCUCUAUCUGUCAUCCACCU
rnacentral:pre_miRNA from 1 species